AUGCCCCGCGCCCCCUCCCGGCUAGCCGCGCCGCUAACCACGAGCCUCCCCACGACACGCCGACGCUCCACGGCCCCAGGCCUGCCCGAAUCGCCAUGGCGAUGGAUCAGCAAGAUCCACUCUUGGGUGACCUCCACCUCAUGUCGGUGCUCCUGUGCAACGGAAACAAGCAACAUCAGCUCUCCCCCAAAGCGCAGUUCACCUCCCGUUCAUGGAUUCAUGGAUGGAACCAGGAGGCCACCUACUUUUUCUCUCCCGAGCUUCUCUGCAGCUAAGCAAUGGGAGAGCCUCCUAGUGAGCACUUGCUCCAGCCGUGGGAUCUCAACUCCUCCCUCCGUCAUGGAUCCAUGA
rnacentral:rRNA from 1 species